GACGAACGCUGGCGGCGUGCUUAACACAUGCAAGUCGAACGGAAAGGCCCUGCUUUUGUGGGGUGCUCGAGUGGCGAACGGGUGAGUAACACGUGAGUAACCUGCCCUUGACUUUGGGAUAACUUCAGGAAACUUGGGCUAAUACCGGAUAGGAGCUCCUGCUGCAUGGUGGGGGUUGGAAAGUUUCGGCGGUUGGGGAUGGACUCGCGGCUUAUCAGCUUGUUGGUGGGGUAGCGGCUUACCAAGGCUUUGACGGGUAGCCGGCCUGAGAGGGUGACCGGCCACAUUGGGACUGAGAUACGGCCCAGAGUCCUACGGGAGGCAGCAGUGGGGAAUAUUGCACAAUGGGCGGAAGCCUGAUGCAGCAACGCCGCGUGCGGGAUGACGGCCUUCGGGGUGUAAACCGCUUUCGCCUGUGACGAAGCGUGAGUGACGGUAAUGGAUAAAGAAGCACCGGCUAACUACGUG
rnacentral:rRNA from 1 species